AUGUCUCCCUCUUUUUCCCGCCACUGCUGCCUUGCCCCACUGCUUGUGCUCUUGCUGCUCCAAGCUCAUCUGCUUCUAGUUGUAGCCAACAGACUCACAAUCACAUCGACUUUCAGGCCCCCAGAUAACAUCACAUGCUCGUCCGGGGACUACGCCUUCGGGUUCCGCGCCCUUGACGCUGACCCUAGCCGGUUCCUCCUUGCCGUCUGGUUCAACUUCAACCUCACCGAGGGAGCCAGCCCUGCGGAGAACAAGGUGGUCUGGUACGCGAAAGACCCAGUCUCAGGCUCGGCCGUCAUGGCCACGGCACUAUCCAAGCUUACCAUCAAAGAUGGUAUGCUCUCCCUUGCCGCCGACACCGGCAACAUCUGGAGGAACCCCAACCCUGGCAUGUGGGGCACUGACCUCGUGCUCCAGGACUCAGGCAACCUCCAGUUCCUCACCUCCCUGGCUACAACUGUCGUGUGGGAGAGCUUUCAGGAUCCGACCGAUACGCUUCUCCCGGGGCAGUACAUGGGCUCUGGAGCUGCCCUUUAUUCCAAGCUCUCGGACACAGACUUCCUGUCUCGUGGCCGCUUCAGCCUGAACGUGCAGACUGACGGCCACCUUGUCUUCCACCUCCUGAACCAUGCCGCUGGCAAUCUGGCUCGGGACUCAUACAACAUAUACUGGGCGAGUGGCACAUACAAAACUGGGGAGGACGGCAACACGACUCUUUUCUUUGACUCGCCGGGGCAUCUCUACUUCCAAAUCAAGGACGGCACGGUGCAUGACAUGAUACCUCCACUUCUUAACUCCACCAUCAGUUACCACCAGCACGCAACGCUCGAUCCAGACGGCAUCGUCCGCGUCUACACCAGACCAAAGAAUAGCGCCGGGGAAGCAGCAAUGUGUCGUGGGCAGUCAGAGGACAGUUCCCAACCGAAGGUUGCAAGGUACAUGGGCUGCACACAGGGGUUCAUGCCGCAGAGCUGUGACAGGAAGAACUACUCCGCCGAGUUUGAGGUUGUCAAGCUCCCGAACACCACUUGGACAAACUCGCCAUACGAAAGACUUUUGCACAUCACAGAGGACGAGUGUGCAAACUACUGCUUGGAGGACUGCCUCUGUGCCGCUGCUACUUAUGAUGGAACUUACUGUAGCAAGAUGGUGUCGCUGGCAGGUGUCGGACGCCGUGGAGGUGACAUCGCCAUGAAGGCGUUGAUCAAGGUGCGGACGAGCAGCCCCUCGUUGCCGGCGCCACCAAGAAGGAUAUUGCCUUAUGCACUACUCGGUGGCUCGACAUUCCUGUUGCUGCUGUCCGGGGUAAGUAGUUUUAUGUUACAUUGCUACCUUAGGAAGAAGAAUACCAACCAUGACUUUGUUAGGGCUUACACCACAAAAGAGCUUUACAAAGCCACCAAUGGCUUUCAUAAGUUGCUAGGCAGAGGAGGCUUUGGCGAGGUCUACCAUGGGGUGUUGAAGUCGCUACACUCCCCCGACAUAGCAGUGAAGAAGCUCAUCAGCUCCAAUGAUUACAGUGAGAGGGAGUUCGCAAACGAGGUACAGUCCAUCGGCCAGAUCCACCAUAGGAACCUAGUCCGCAUGGUUGGCUACUGCAAAGAGAAGGAGCAGCGGAUGUUGGUGUUCGAGUUCAUGCCAGGUGGUUCCCUUCGGAGCUUCCUUUUCCAGCCUCAGCAGCAACCGAUGUGGAGUUGGCGCGCUGAAGCAGCCCUUGGCAUUGCCAAGGGCCUGGAGUACUUACAUGAAGGGUGCAAUUAUCCAAUCAUCCACUGUGACAUCAAGCCUGACAAUAUAUUGUUAGAUGCCAAGAAAAAUCCAAAGAUUACUGACUUUGGGAUUGCCAGGCUUCUUAGUGACCAGCAGAUGCACACCACGGUGACCAACAUCAGGGGCACAAGGGGCUAUAUAGCCCCCGAGUGGUUCCAAAGCGACAGGCGCAUCGACACCAAGGUUGAUGUGUACAGCUUUGGUGUUGUGCUACUAGAGAUGAUAUGCUGCCGAAAGUCCCAGGAGCCAGUGCCUGGUCAGGAUGGUGACGACUCAGUCAUGCUAUUCGAGUGGGCCGGUCAGUUGGUUGGUGAUGGCAGGACAGAGGUGCUGUUUCAUAGCGAUGAUGACGCCAUUGAGGAUUUGGUCAGAGUGGAGAGGUUCUUGCGUGUUGCUCUCUGGUGCGUUGAGCAGAAUCCUUCGCUCCGUCCGACGAUGCAUCAGGUGGUGCAGAUGCUGGAGGGUGUGGUUGAGGUCGACACUCUACCUGCUCCUACAAGCUCCAACUGUUCAUCAUCGUCGACCUCUUCCAUCGAUGAAGGGAGCGCUCUGUUGUCGGGUGCUGCUACUCUUGAGAUAGAGUGA
rnacentral:rRNA from 1 species